rnacentral:lncRNA from 1 species
GAUGCUGCAAGUAUGUAGAAAAAAGAUAUACUGUUUAUAAAGAACCACCUUCUUCAAAAUUCACAAGUAUAGGGAAUUAAAUAUCUUUGGCUUUGUAAACCUUUGCUGUGUGCAUGGGCCCCAUCUUGUUCUUCCUUUGGGGACAUCUGUUUUGCUUCUUCUCCUCUCACAUGUAUGUACAGAGUGGACAGUCACGGGACAGUCUUUAGAGUAUUGUCCUCUUGGAGUUCCUGAGCAGGACAUCAAGCUGAGGCCUGUCAAGCCCUGGGCCUGUUAAAGAAAUCGUGGAUGAUGACAAUAUGAAUUUGAGCAAAAGAUAUCCUCAGAGGAAAAAAAUGGGCUAAUUUUGUCACAUGUGUAAGAUUGCUUUCCUCAGCAAUCUGUGGCUGACACUCCCAGAAUCUUCCCACCACCCCACUACACAUCCACUUCUGACUGACAUAUCUUUGUUUGCCUUUCUUUCCUUCCUUCCUUCCUUCCUUCCUUUCCUUCCUUCCUUCUUCCUUCUUUCUUUCUUUCUUCUUGAUGGAGUUUCAUUCUUUUGCCCAGGCUGGAGUGAAGUGAUGCAAUCUUGGCUCACUGCAACCUCCACCCCCUGAGUUCAACUGAUUCUCCUGCCUCAG